GACGAACGCUGGCGGCGUGCUUAACACAUGCAAGUCGAGCGGUAAGGCCCUUUCGGGGGUACACGAGCGGCGAACGGGUGAGUAACACGUGGGUGACCUGCCUCUAGCUCUGGGAUAAGCCUGGGAAGCUGGGUCUAAUACCGGAUAUGACCUCGCGGUGCAUGGUUGCGGGGUGGAAAGCCUUGUGCGGCUAGGGAUGGGCCCGCGGCCUAUCAGCUUGUUGGUGGGGUGANGGCCUACCAAGGCGACGACGGGUAGCCGGCCUGAGAGGGCGACCGGCCACACUGGGACUGAGACACGGCCCAGACUCCUACGGGAGGCAGCAGUGGGGAAUCUUGCGCAAUGGGCGAAAGCCUGACGCAGCGACGCCGCGUGAGGAUGACGGCC
rnacentral:rRNA from 1 species